UACGUAGGGUGCGAGCGUUGUCCGGAAUUAUUGGGCGUAAAGAGCUCGUAGGCGGUGUGUCGCGUCGGCCGUGAAAACCUGGGGCUCAACUCUGGGCGUGCGGUCGAUACGGGCAUCACUUGAGUUCGGCAGGGGAGACUGGAAUUCCUGGUGUAGCGGUGAAAUGCGCAGAUAUCAGGAGGAACACCGGUGGCGAAGGCGGGAUCCUGGGCCAGUACUGACGCUGAGGAGCGAAAGCGUGGGGAGCAAACAGG
rnacentral:rRNA from 1 species